rnacentral:lncRNA from 1 species
GGUGUUGGUUGCAUUUGGAUCCUUUUCUUUAUUUAUUUGUUGAUUAUAUUUGGUACUUAAGGACCGUCAACAACUCCCCCAAGCUUACCUCUUGCUCGUCCCUGAGCAAGGAUGGACUCAAGAGUUUCUGCAGUGGUUUCAUGCCUUAAAGGUACACAUGCGUUUAAACAAGAUCUCAUCUUUGGGCUAGGGUAAACUAUUAAGAUUUAAAACAUACUCAUUUUACCUUUCACCAUGGGGCUUGUAACCGUCACUUGAAUCUUGAGCAGUUAAAAGAUAGAACGGUCAAGUCAAGCGCCAUUUCUCUUGUUCUUUGAUCAACUAUAGCUCUAGAGUUUUUGCAGAUUUUCAAAAAAAACUCAGAGAUUCCUUGUAUGACUCUCUCAAUUCUCUCUUUUGUGGUAUUUCUAGAUCCUUACUAAGGCAGUGAUGGCAUAUGCCUUCCCUCAAAGCAUGUGGUAUUUGUAGUAUGAGGCAUAGUGAUAUUGCCUUCUCUCUCAUCCUACUCUAAUAAGGCUUUGAUAUCUGGAGCUCAUAGGUGGGAGAUAAAGUAUACAUACUUACAAGACAUUUAUUGCAUAGUCAAACCAUGGAUCCAGAAGAAGUCAAUAAGUCAAAUCAAGAUGUGCUUGUGUGGCGAAUGAAUGGUGUAUGGUGAUGAUGGUGAUAACAAUGAUGAAAGCCUAAUUCUACUUUUGCUCUUUUGAGGGGAUACAUACCUUCCUUGCUUUCUAAAACUUUAUGAGGAGAAUGAGAUGCUCUUCUUUUUCUUUUUCUUUCCUCUCAGGUGGGUAUCUUGUACCCCAAAUUAUACUGUCGGACACUUGUCCAUUUUUUCCUCUCGUCUCACUUUUUCUUUUCUUUCGAGGUUCCGGGCACUUGCCGCUUUUUAUUUCCUCGUAUCUCUUUUUUUUAUUUUAGAGCACUCAUCUCUUGAGAUAAUAUAGCAAGUGGUAGUAACUAGAUAACUUGAGCAUUUAUUUCACAAGGGAAAAACAGAAAUAUUUUUGGCUAUUCUCUCCCGGAUGAGGAGUAGAAUAUUUUUGGGUGGUUCUGGAGAUGGAAAUGAGUGGAUAUAUGUGGUGAAAGUCUAAUUCUACUUUUGCUCUUUUGAGGGGAUACAUACCUUUCUUGCACUUUGAAGCUUUUUGAGGGGAACGAGAUGCUCUAUAUUUUCUUUUUCUUUUCUCUCAGGUGGGUGUCUUGUACCCCUAAUUCUAUUGUCGGACACUUGUCCAUUUUUUACCUCUUGUCACACAUUUUCUUUUCUUCGAGGUUUCGGGCACUUGCCUCUUUUUAUUUCCUCGUAUUUUUCUUUUUCUUCUUUUUUUAGAGCACUCACCCUCCUAGAAUAAUGUAGCAAGUGGUAGUAACCAAAAUAUCUCGAGCAUUUAUUUCACACGGAAAAACACGAAUGGGAUAAUGUUUUUGGCUAUUCUCUCCCGGAUAGGAGUAGAAUAAUUUUGGGUGAAUCUAGUCCUUAGGAGUGCCUCAGGGUCGGAGAUGUAGUUUUUCGGCAAAGAGAAACCAGGCAUACACUAUUCCUCCUGUUUCAUCCACAACAGGGAGAAAAUAGGCAGAGUUAUCCUACAUAACAAUUGACUCAUUACGCACAUCAGAUUACUUGAUUAUAUUAAUCUAGAAUCAUUUUCAUAUUAGCCUUCCCCGGCAACGGUGCCAGAAAUGCUUGUUGGCAUUUCUUAACGUCAUCACUAAGAACAGGGUUUAAUCCGUCCUUAGCAACGAUGUCAGAAAUGUCGUGAUAACACUUACUAAUGCAAUCACCAAGAUUAGAGUAUAAAUCUAUCCUAAGCAACGGUGCCAGAAAUGCUUGUUAGCGUUUCUUAGCGUCACUACCCAGAAUAGGGUUCUGCUCUACUCAUGAUAAUGACAUUGGCAGUGUUAUAUUGGCAGAUCCGUAGCAUCACCACCUUGAAUAGGAAACUAGAUCAACCUUCCCGAUAACGGCGCCUUAUUACCGUUAGGGUUGGGUUCCAGUUCUUAAUCAUGGCAGUGGCACUAGGAUUGCCAUGUUGGUAUUCCUUAACAAGUCACUACCUCAGCGCAUGUCUAGCAACAGUGUUAAGUAUAUACCGGGGUGAUAGUUCCUUAGGUUUGGAGUUCAAGUACCGCAAGCAGACGGGAAUUAUCGUGUAGCAUUUCAACCCGGGGAUUUACCGAGUGUCGUAUUUAUAGGUUCGCUCUAAGGAAGGCUUAAUAUGUUAAGGAUUCUAAGAUAAGCAUAGAUCAAAAUAAUUAUGAUAGCAAUAAUGGAAUCAAAGGUCAUAGCAGGUGAUAAACAUUUAUAUGUAGAAUAGUGAUCCAUCACAAUAUAGGCAUGGCAUAUGGGCUAAGGAAUAAAAAGAGACUAAAAGAAUGAAUUGAAUCAAAGAAUAAACAAACAACCUAUUGGAGCAGGUGUGGUCCUAGAUACAGAUCAUGUCAUAGAACAAGUUAAUCAUGUAAUUAUACUACUUAGAUAUAGUCCUAUGUUUAGAUGGUUUGGGAGGUUACGCGAGUACUGGUCUGCCAGCAACCUCCGCAACUAUUUAGACUCCUACACCACCUGCCACCAUCCCCUCAACCGUGGACUAGGACAAUGCAUUUACCCGGCCUUUACACCCAAGCACCAUGCUUACAUGCAAAGAACCUACUCGGACUCCCCCGGGUCCCCGACCCUACGGAUCGACCGGUAAUAAGCCCAAGCCUAAUCAAAAGAGCAUGAUAAACCCCCAUCUUCACACAAAGCUAUUUCUAGGC